GUCCCUGUAGCUCAGUUGGUAGAGCAUGGUGUUUGCAACACAUGGUGUUUGCAACGCCAGGGUUGUGGGUUCUAUUCCCACGGGGGGCC
rfam:Salmo salar isolate Sally breed double haploid chromosome ssa01, whole genome shotgun sequence.